rnacentral:lncRNA from 1 species
UACAUAUAUAUAUAUAUGUUUUGAUUUUUUUUUUUUUUUUUUAUGUACACCUGAUCAACUGCAAACACGUAACAACCUUUCAUCAAUUACCCAUCAACUUCUUGUUUACCUCUAAAUGAAUAUAAAUAUCGCAUAUAGUAAAAUUUAAGCGCAAAAUUAUGUGUAUAUCGAUACAUACAUAACAGAGAUAUACCAAAUUUCGAUAACAUAUAUAUGCACACGUAAAGACGUAUAUAACUCGAAAAACACCCGUUAAACGAAAUGUACAUACAAUUGUAUUUUAUCAUUUUCAUGUUUGAAUAUGUUUAUUCACGAGUUGCUUUUAUCAAUGUUCAUAAAAAUAGUAUAAUUAAAAACAAAAUAAAUACUAACACCCCAUGUAAUAAAAAUGUCUUAUAUCAAGGUAGCACGAAGACUCUUAUGCCACAGGCCAUUACAAAAAAACAAAUAAUAGAAGAAGUUUCUAUAGAAACAAAAGAAAAUAAAAAAACAGUUGAAAAAAUUAUGAAUGGCAUAUUUGAUAAUAUAUAUAGACAUUUGGAAAAUAACGAAAAAAUAUAUAUACAUAAAUUUGGAAUGUAUUAUAACGUUUUUCGAAAACAAAGACGUAUUAAAAAUGUACGAACAAAAGAAGAUGUUAAUAUAGAAAGUAGUCAUAUGCCACAUUUCAAAUUCUCAAAAAUAUUUAAAGACUUGAUAAAAUCAAAUAUUAAAGUAGAUAGAGAAAAAGAAAAUGCCCGUGAAAAUGAAUUUGAUGAGGAGAACAUACAUAUGGAUAAUGUUAAUGAGAAUUUUAAUGAAAAGGUUAAUGAAAAAUUAAUUUAUUAAAAUGAUAUUUGAAAAAGUUUGGUAACGGGAUUGAAAUAGUCUUGCAAAAAAAAAAAAAAAAAAAAAAAAAAAAGUAGGACUAAUAAGAGUAUAAGUUAUAUGAAAGUAAAAUAUUCAUAUAAAUGUGAAUUUUGCAACUUAUACUUAUACAUGUAUAUAAAUAUAUGUAUAUAUGUUUUAAUUCAUUUUUUCUAACAACUACAAAUGCUUGAGCAUAUUUUAUUUUGUUUUAUCCUUGUUUAGCUUUUUUUUUUUUUUUUUUUUUUUUUUUGGCUUAUUUUCUAUGUCUAAAAGUUUUUAACAUUUUUACGCACAUAUGUGUUAAAAAUUGGAUAUAUGCUGCAUGUAUAUUACAUAUACAUGUAGUUUUUUUUAAGUUAUUAUAAAUUUGACAUUUUUACUGUAAUGUGUGAAUACAUUUUUUUUUUUUUUUUUUUUUUUCUAAUCUUGAAUUGUUGUUUUUAGAAAAAUGAAACAUUAUGAGAUACAUCUUUUUAUUUUAUAUUAUAAUGCAUACAUAAAUUUUAAUAAUGUUUAUGUUCAAAAAAAAAAAAAUAAGUAAAAAAAAAAAAAAAAAAAGAAUAGUAAUAGUAAUAGUAGUAGUAAUAAUAAUAGUAAUAAUAAUAAUAAUGAUAAUAAUGAUAAUGAUAAUGAUAAUGCAAUAAGCUAGAACAAGUUGUUGCAUAAAAAAUAAGAUUAAUACAAUUUCAAAUGAAACAAAUGUAUAUGAAAAAUAAUAUUUAGCGAAUUAAAAAAAAAAAAAAAGUAAAAAUGUUAAAUAAAUAAAUAAAUCAUUUUUUGUAUAUACA